rnacentral:piRNA from 1 species
UCCUUAACAAGAGGGCAAGAGCAAAGGCA